AGCAAGGAAUUUUCGUCAAUGGGCGCAAGCCUGAACGAGCAACGCCGCGUGGGGGAUGACGGCCUUCGGGUUGUAAACCCCUUUUUGGGGGGACGAUAAUGACGGUACCCCCGGAAUAAGCCCCGGCUAACUCUGUGCCAGCAGCCGCGGUAAUACAGAGGGGGCAAGCGUUGUCCGGACUUACUGGGCGUAAAGCGCACGCAGGUGGCCGCGCAAGUGUUAUGUGAAAGCCCCGCGCUCAACGCGGGGAGGCCACGACAGACUGCGCAGCUUGAGGGAUGCAGAGGAUGGUGGAAUUGCCGGUGUAGUGGUGAAAUGCGUAGAGAUCGGCAGGAACACCAAGGCCGAAGGGAGCCAUCUGGGCAUCACCUGACACUCAUGUGCGACAGCGUGGGGAGCGAA
rnacentral:rRNA from 1 species